AGAGUUUGAUCAUGGCUCAGAGCGAACGCUGGCGGCAGGCUUAACACAUGCAAGUCGAGCGGGCAUCCUUGUGGUGUCAGCGGCAGACGGGUGAGUAACGCGUGGGAACGUGCCCUUCGGUUCGGAAUAACUCAGGGAAACUUGAGCUAAUACCGGAUACGUGCGAGAGCAGAAAGGUUUAUCUGCCGAAGGAUCGGCCCGCGUCUGAUUAGCUAGUUGGUGAGGUUAUGGCUCACCAAGGCGACGAUCAGUAGCUGGUCUGAGAGGAUGAUCAGCCACACUGGGACUGAGACACGGCCCAGACUCCUACGGGAGGCAGCAGUGGGGAAUAUUGGACAAUGGGGGCAACCCUGAUCCAGCCAUGCCGCGUGAGUGAUGACGGCCUUAGGGUUGUAAAGCUCUUUUCUCCGGGACGAUAAUGACGGUACCGGAGGAAUAAGCCCCGGCUAACUUCGUGCCAGCAGCCGCGGUAAUACGAAGGGGGCUAGCGUUGCUCGGAAUCACUGGGCGUAAAGGGCGCGUAGGCGG
rnacentral:rRNA from 1 species